GAUGAACGCUGGCGGCGUGCCUAAUACAUGCAAGUCGAGCGAACAGACGAGGAGCUUGCUCCUCUGACGUUAGCGGCGGACGGGUGAGUAACACGUGGAUAACCUACCUAUAAGACUGGGAUAAUUUCGGGAAACCGGAGCUAAUACCGGAUAAUAUAUUGAACCGCAUGGUUCAAUAGUGAAAGACGGUUUUGCUGUCACUUAUAGAUGGAUCCGCGCCGCAUUAGCUAGUUGGUAAGGUAACGGCUUACCAAGGCAACGAUGCGUAGCCGACCUGAGAGGGUGAUCGGCCACACUGGAACUGAGACACGGUCCAGACUCCUACGGGAGGCAGCAGUAGGGAAUCUUCCGCAAUGGGCGAAAGCCUGACGGAGCAACGCCGCGUGAGUGAUGAAGGUCUUCGGAUCGUAAAACUCUGUUAUUAGGGAAGAACAAAUGUGUAAGUAACUAUGCACGUCUUGACGGUACCUAAUCAGAAAGCCACGGCUAACUACGU
rnacentral:rRNA from 1 species